AUUGAACGCUGGCGGCAGGCCUAACACAUGCAAGUCGAACGAGUGGCGGACGGGUGAGUAAUGUCUGGGACCCUGCCUGAUGGAGGGGGAUAACUACUGGAAACGGUAGCUAAUACCGCAUCCCAUCGGAUGUGCCCAGAUGGGAUUAGCUAGUAGGUGGGGUAAAGGCUCACCUAGGCGACGAUCCCUAGCUGGUCUGAGAGGAGGACCAGCCACACGUGAACUGAGACACGGUCCAGACGCCUACGGGAGGGAGCAGGGGGGAAUAGGGCACAAUGGGCGCAAGCCUGAUGCAGCCAUGCCGCGUGUAUGAAGAAGGCCUUCGGGGUGUAAAGUACUUUCAGCGGGGAGGCGUUACCCGCAGAAGAAGCACCGGCUAACUCCGUGCCAGCAGCCGCGGUAAUAC
rnacentral:rRNA from 1 species